UUGGAGGGCAAGUCUGGUGCCAGCAGCCGCGGUAAUUCCAGCUCCAGUAGCGUAUAUUAAAGUUGUUGCAGUUAAAAAGCUCGUAGUUGAAUUUCGAGACCGGUUUAUUGGUCGUGCUUUUGUACGUACUGGUAUUAUUGGUUUCUCCUUUCUGACGAACUAUAAUGCCAUUAAUUUGGUGUUAUGGGGAAUCAGGACUGUUACUUUGAAAAAAUUAGAGUGUUUAAAGCAGGCUCACGCUUGAAUACAUUAGCAUGGAAUAACGGAAUAGGACGUUUGAUUCUAUUUUGUUGGUUUCUAGGAUCGACGUAAUGAUUAAUAGGGAUAGUUGGGGGCAUUAGUAUUCAAUUGUCAGAGGUGAAAUUCUUGGAUUUAUUGAAGACUAACUACUGCGAAAGCAUUUGCCAAGGAUGUUUUCAUUAAUCAAGAACGAAAGUUAGGGGAUCGAAGACGAUCAGAUACCGUCGUAGUCUUAACCAUAAACUAUGCCGACUAGGGAUCGGAUGAUGUUAAUUUUUUAAUGACUCAUUCGGCGCCUUACGGGAAACCAAAGUGUUUGGGUUC
rnacentral:rRNA from 1 species